rnacentral:rRNA from 1 species
AGAGUUUGAUCAUGGCUCAGGAUGAACGCUGGCGGCGUGCCUAACACAUGCAAGUCGAGCGAUCUUCUUCGGAAGAGAGCGGCGGACGGGUGAGUAACGCGUGGGUAACCUGCCUCAUACACAUGGAUAACAUACCGAAAGGUAUGCUAAUACAAGAUGAUAUAAGAGAUUCGCAUGGAUUUCUUAUCAAAGCUCCGGCGGUAUGAGAUGGACCCGCGUCUGAUUAGCUAGUUGGUAAGGUAACGGCUUACCAAGGCGACGAUCAGUAGCCGACCUGAGAGGGUGAUCGGCCACAUUGGAACUGAGACACGGUCCAAACUCCUACGGGAGGCAGCAGUGGGGAAUAUUGCACAAUGGGCGAAAGCCUGAUGCAGCAACGCCGCGUGAGCGAUGAAGGCCUUCGGGUCGUAAAGCUCUGUCCUCAAGGAAGAUAAUGACGGUACUUGAGGAGGAAGCCCCGGCUAACUACGUGCCAGCAGCCGCGGUAAUACGUAGGGGGCUAGCGUUAUCCGGAUUUACUGGGCGUAAAGGGUGCGUAGGUGGUUUCUUAAGUCAGGAGUGAAAGGCUACGGCUCAACCGUAGUAAGCUCUUGAAACUGGGAAACUUGAGUGCAGGAGAGGAAAGUGGAAUUCCUAGUGUAGCGGUGAAAUGCGUAGAUAUUAGGAGGAACACCAGUAGCGAAGGCGGCUUUCUGGACUGUAACUGACACUGAGGCACGAAAGCGUGGGGAGCAAACAGGAUUAGAUACCCUGGUAGUCCACGCCGUAAACGAUGAGUACUAGGUGUCGGGGGUUACCCCCCUCGGUG